AGCAGCCGCGGUAAUUCCAGCUCCAAUAGCGUAUAUUAAAGUUGUUGCAGUUAAAAAGCUCGUAGUUGAAUUUCGGGAUCAAUAUUUCGGUCAUGCCGUUGGUAUGCACUGUUAUCAUUGAUUUCUCACCUUCUAAAGAACCGUAAUGCCAUUAAUUUGGUGUUACGGGGAAUUAGGACUGUUACCUUGAAAAAUUAGAGUGUUUAAAGCAGGCUCACGCUUGAAUACAUUAGCAUGGAAUAAUGAAAUAGGACAUCCGAUUCUAUUUUGUUGGUUUCUAGGAUCGAUGUAAUGAUUAAUAGGGAUAGUUGGGGCAUUAGUAUUCAAUUGUCAGAGGUGAAAUUCUUGGAUUUAUUGAAGACUAACUACUGCGAAAGCAUUUGCCAAGGAUGUUUUCAUUAAUCAAGAACGAAAGUUAGGGGAUCGAAGACGAUCAGAUACCGUCGUAGUCUUAACCAUAAAACUAUGCCGACUAGGGAUCGGAUGAUGUUAAUUUUAAUGACUCAUUC
rnacentral:rRNA from 1 species